AGACGAACACACCCAUUUCAUUUUCCAAUCAUUCUCGCUUGCCCUAGAUCAUUCCCGUCGCGAUUCUUCUCUCAACAAAAUCGACGCCCCUGCCGCCGCUCAAGGAGCUGCCGACGGAUGACUUCUUCUCCCCCGCAUAGAUGAAGAUAAAUAUUUGGAUUUUGUGUAUGGCGGAAGUGUCAUUAUAUGAAUGUCAACUUCAUCAACAACAACCGGCAUCACUAAGUGUUUGUAUGGACGUCGGAGUGUCGUUAGAACAUCAUGGACAAAUGAAAAUCCAGGACGCAGGUUUAAUUCUUGCGGGAAGUAUCGUGUAAGUAUGAAAAAAUUAUUUAGUUUUGUUCAAGUUAUGUAGUUCGAGUGUUAUUUAGUUUCUUUGUAUUGGAUUCUCAACGAGGUGGAAAAGGUGGGUGUGGAUACUUUUCCUGGGAAGAUCCCCCAAUGUGUGCACGUGCCAAGGCCAUUAUUCCUGGCGUGUUGAGAAAAUUAAAUGACAAAGAUUCAGAAAUCUUGAGGUUGAAGCAGCGUAACCAAAUGUUAUUUAGAAUCAUUGUUGGUAGUUGUUUUUUUAUUACGGCGUUUUGCGGCUAUGUUUUGAAGGUCUGGCUUCAAAUAUGAUGAAAAAAAUAGAAGUCUGUUGAGGCAACGUAAUAGGCUUCUUGUAUUUUAUGUCUCGGAUUGUAUGUUGUUAUCCUUUGUUUGUUCCAUUUUAUGUUGCAUUACUCUAGUAGAAUGUUUGUCUAACUAGCUUUGUAAUACAUUGUAAUGCCAUGAAAAGACUGUUUGUUUUGAAUGAUCAUGGUUUCAUAAGAAA